AAUAAAAAAAUCUCAAAGCAUACAUCUUCUUUCUUCCCUAAUUUUAUACUACCACUCAACCGAAUUCUAGAAGCAUCUGAAUCUCUUCAUCUUCUCAGGCGGGUCUUCCAAUUUCAGGUAAAGCUUCUCUCAAUUUUGGUACCAAAUAAAAACUGAAGCGUGUGCUUCAUAUACAUAUCCAGUUGCAAGACAAUCCAAACAAACAAAGCUACGGGCUGGCUCCCCUCAAGAAAAUGCUUUGCAUUUCCAACCGAAUCUGCAAUAGGAACUCCGGCCUGUAUUGCAGCAGGAGUCUUAUCAAGAAAAAGUACGACCAAAAGUAUAUCAUUGGAUUGUACUGGCACGCGGGAAGGAGAAGGCGAAGGCGCAGCAAAAAAAUCAGCUUUUCUAUCGUGGCUUCACCUGCACAGUUAGCAUUUGAGUUUCAUGAUAUUUGUUGGAGUAGAGGAGUGAGAUGAGCAACAACAUUCUGUUAGAUUUCAGCCCACACUUAGUGUAUGGCAUGAAGGAAAAUAAGUUCUGCCAGAACACUUGGAUACUUUGUUUAUGACCACAGAUUACCGGUAGAGAACAAGAGAUGGCGGCUCUGAAAAAUUUGAGCAAGAUAGAAGGUGGAAGCAGUUGAAAGAUGCAAAUAGCUAACCUUUGCUCUCUUUGGGUGGAUUUCAUCGGUGAUUUUUCGACCUUUUGAAAGUGGAAUAUGCUCUAGAUUAAGGACAAUAUUGAGACUGUAAGAUACAGAAGAUAUGAAAGCUCCAAGCACAUAAAACAAGGCCUUUGCGGUGCACUUUCGGUCAGUUAAUGAAGUAGAUUUCUUGAAUGAUAAAAUUUCCCGGUAUUGCUAGAAAGGGUGUGAUUCCUAUAUACUACUCUCUGCUAUGUGUCACUAAAUUCAUAAUUUUCCUUAAGAUCUACAAGUGAUAUAUGUUUCUUGUCAAAGUAAAUUAUUCAGUAUUACAAAUUUGAGCAGUCUUUCUUUGCUGCUUUAAUUUUUUUAGUGUUGAUUUGUUCAUUGGUGUCUGCAUGCGAAUUCUACUUCUCCUUUUUCCUCUUUUCCAGUUCACCCUUUACCGUAACAUUCCUUUAUUCUUUUCAUUUAUCUUAAGUUGUGAGGCCAGGGGGAUUGUUUUAUUUAUGAGAUAUUGAGUUGACCCAAAAUAUCGAACUUCCCCCCUUGGAUUAGUGUUCAACACAUAUCUACUUAUUCAUGUAUAAACACACACCCCUCCUACAUAAAUAAGAAUUGAAUAAGAACUGAUGGCACGUAAUAAAAGAUUACCCCCGCUUUUAGAACUCUUGCACAACAUGAAAUUUUUUCCACUAGCCGCAGGAGCAUUAAAAUUAAAAAAUAAAAAUAAAAAAUAAUCUCCCUGACACUCCACUAAGGACAAUAACAUGAACAUAUCUAGAGAUAUCGGUUUGCAGCAUCUCUAACCUAGAGAUUUACUUAGUUUGUCAUUGAUAAGCUUUGCAAGAACAAGUAAAAGGUAGACUAGUCAUUGACAAUAUGCUUCCUUUAUCUUAUCAUUUAAUGUUUAUAAAUAUAACUCAGCAAUAUUUGCUUUUUAAUGGUUCAUUUAUCUGCAUUGCACAAUCCAGACCUUUCGGUUUAUCUCUUCUUAUAGCUCUGUCCAUGAUGAGGAGGUGAAGGCGGUAAGUCUUCCUUACAUAUUCAGAUGAAAAAUCUCUAUGUUACAGAUUUUUUCCUUUAGCCAGUUCACUUAAUCUUCUAAGUUGUUUUCUAAUUUAACAGAAGAUGAGCAUAAUGUUGUUUGGUUCUGGCUAGAGAAGGGCAAGCCACAUGAAUGCCCAGUAUGCACACAGUAUUUUGUGGUAAGUACGGAAUCUCUGUAUCUUUCGGCCAUAUUAUCAAGUUCCAGGGUGUAAGGGAAUUAGUAGAGAUAUGAAUUCAUAGUCCUUGCUAUUCUGUAUGUGAAAGGCAGUGGCACUCCUUAAUCAGGGAAAAUUUUAGAUUCCGUGCAGCAAUAGGGUGACAUUUUCCCUCUUCUUUUUUUUUUUUUUUAUUGAGAGCAAAGGGAGUAAUGAAUAAGUGAGUUUUAUAGUUCAAAAGAAUUAAGUUAAAAUCCCAAUUUUUCUCUUAAGUUCUUAGCUGAUUUUAAUUUCUAUUCUUUGUGCCAGUAAGCAAAGUAAGAAUCAUUAAACUUUCUUUAGGAUUAUGUUGGAUGAAAGAGUUUCAUCUUCCAAGAGCAUACUUAUGUUCAACUGUCAGAAUUCAGAUUCCAACCCAAUCUCAUACUGAUGUUGGAGCACUUACAAUCUUUCUACUUUUUUGUACCAAGCUACCUAUGUAACUUUGUUCCACAAACUAUGUCUCUCUUUUGCCUUUCUUGCAAACUACUCCUGUAACUUUGUUCCACAAAUGAAUGUAAUAUACUAUGAAGCAUGUCAUGUUAA